rfam:Zea mays cultivar B73 chromosome 4, whole genome shotgun sequence.
CCAUCUGAAGUGAGGAUUAGAGGCAACUGAACCAUCAUCUAUUGCAAAGGUUCAGUUUCCUCUAAUAUCUCAUCUCGAAUGG